AUACGAAGGUCCCAAGCGUUAUUCGGAAUCACUGGGCGUAAAGAGUACGUAGGCGGUUUGGUAAGUCAGGUGUGAAAUCCCGGAGCUCAACUCCGGAACUGCAUCCGAUACUGCCAGACUUGAGUAAUGGAGAGGCAGGUGGAAUUCUCGGUGUAGCAGUGAAAUGCGUGGAUAUCGAGAGGAAGACCAAUGGCGAAGGCAGCCUGCUGGACAUUUACUGACGCUGAGGUACGAAGGCUAGGGGAGCGAAAGGGAUUAGAAACCCCGGUAGUCC
rnacentral:rRNA from 1 species